rnacentral:rRNA from 1 species
CAGCAGCCACGGUAAUACGAAGGGUGCAAGCGUUACUCGGAAUUACUGGGCGUAAAGCGUGCGUAGGUGGUGGUUUAAGUCCGUUGUGAAAGCCCUGGGCUCAACCUGGGAAUUGCAGUGGAUACUGGGUCACUAGAGUGUGGUAGAGGAUAGUGGAAUUUCCGGUGUAGCAGUGAAAUGCGUAGAGAUCGGAAGGAACAUCUGUGGCGAAGGCGACUAUCUGGGCCAAUACUGACGCUGAGGUACGAAAGCAUGGGGAGCAAACAGGAUUAGAUACCCCAGUAGUCCCUGUCUCUUAUAC